UAGUUCCAAAAUGAGUUUACUCUGAAUGACACUUCAGUUCAUGCACAUUUUAGAAUGUACGUCAUCAAUGUUCUCCCAAAGGAAAGUGAGCAAAAACUUAUCCAGAGAAUCAACAGCACAUUUUUGUGAAACUUUUUAAAAUGCACAGGAGAAAUAGGAUUACGAAGAAGAGAAGCUUUGUCAUAAUUUGUUAUAGAUGAAUUAAAUGCAAUUUCUCAUAUAUUAAGAUUCUUCAUUUUUUCAGGACACAUGGUUGGUAAUAUUCAUGAAAACUAGCAGAACUCCAGUACAUUUGAAGUGUUAGUCAAGCAUACUUUAGGAGAGGCAAGCAAAGUCUGGAAAAUGCCAUAAAUGGUACCCGAAAUAUGUCUAAAAUGGCACCCAGAGUGUACUUAAAAUGGUA